rnacentral:rRNA from 1 species
GGGCAUGCGGAAGGAUCAUUG